UUUUGGAGGAAAAAUUGAGGUAUGAAGGAUGGAAAUCUACUAAGUUAGUGAUCCACGAGUUGAUCCAAGACUUGUGGGUGGGACUAUAACUCGUGAGUGGGCCUGUGACUUGAGUUCUGAAGCUGAAAAGCAAAGUACGAUUACUAUGAGAUGAACCAUAACAUAUAACUUCUACCCACAACUCAUGGGUAGUUUUCAUGAGUCAAGUACUGAUGAUUGAACCUGAGCAUGAUUUUCAUGAUUUAGAGCAAUGACUCAUUGAUCUGAUCCAUUACUCAACCCAUGAGUCGUAAGGUGCUGCCGACCUACCUUUCCUACAUAAUUUAUGACAGAAUUCAUGUUGUAUCUAUAAGUACUCCCAUGAUAUAUUAUGAUUAUCUUACACACGAAAUUAUUUUGAGGUUCUUAGACACAUUAUUAAUCUAUAAACUCUUGAUAUUGGUUUUUAAGGUUUAAAUCAGUUUGAGAUUUAUGUUUUUUCAUCUUAUUCAUAUAAGUGCACAAUAAUGCUUUCAUACAUGGAUUCUUAUAACAUUUAUACGAUCAUGAGUAUCUUAUCCCCAUAACUGGGGUUAUGGUAACCGUGAUGAAUUAACACUCUAUGACUGGCUUAUUUUGAAAAUGAAAUUGGACUACUUUAUUUCUGCAAUCAACUGAGUCAGACAAAAGUGGAGCCAAUGUAUGAAAAGAAUAAUAUCAAAAUCAGUAAUGUCUAACUCUACAAGAUCGACUAAAGUGACAUUUUGGUAUAUUGUGACUGGGUAAUUUCUAUAUACCCAUCUAGCUAUGAUACAACUACAGACUAGAGUAGAAACUAAGAAGGGUUCUUCUAGGAUUUCGGGACCGACACCAAAAUCUACUACUAUAAAGGGAGUCACAAAGGAAUGACUCAUGGAUCUAAUAAUACAUAAAAGUUAAGGUGAAAGACAUGUAAUGUACCAGUAAACAUAUCAGGAUAACCCUCCUAAUAUUGUCGACUAUGAAUGGCAUAAAAGUUAUCCUAAUGUUAUCUACCAGUUGUAGUAGAGUGGCACCCUGCUGAGUCGGGUGACCUGCUGGAGUCAUUGAAGACUUAGUCUGGCUUGAUUGACUAUGAUUCCUACCUCUGCACACCUAUUGACCAUCCCUUACUCUAUAUCCUGACUUGCCACACUCGAUAUUGGUAUCACUAUUAGCCAUGCACUCACCCUUAUGGCUCCUACCAUAUCUCUAGAAAAUUGGGAUUAUGUGAAAACUAUUCACACUGCUCUAAGACUUAGAGCAUGGAGCUCUAUCUCGAGUAUCUUGUCUGAACUUAGGCACUGGAACACUAGUAGAAGAUGGGAUAGGAGAUAAAGAUUUUAGGUAGAAUUGAGAGAGAUUUCCACCAUCUAACCUCUACUUAGAGAAAUUAAAAGUAGCAGUUCUAGACCUCUUAUUCUUCCUUUACUUUUAUUUGAUCUUCUCUACCUUAAUUUGUUAAUCAUGGACUGUUAGUCGGGAGAUAUCCAUCUCCUUAACUACCAUGUCCAUCCUACACUUCUUCACCACAUCCUUGAAAACACCCGACAUAAACUUACUUAUCCAGGCACUGUAAUCGACCAUUAUAGUUGGAGAAUACCUCACCAACUAAGUAAAAUUAAGUGAAUACUCCUUAACACUCACACUACCCCAUUUUAAGUUGAUGAACUCCUACACUUUAGCUUUCCCCAACUCAAAUAGGAAGAACCAAUCAAGAAAUGAUAUAACAAAAUCAUCCCACUCUACUGACCCUGCACCUGUACCUCUAUCCUCCUUCUACUAAAUACCAGUUGUUAGCCACUCCUUGUAAUUAAUAGGUAGCCAAAUUAGUACUUUUACUAGAAGUGACACCCAUGAUCUUAGUCACUUUUUUAAAACUAUCCAAGAACUCCUGUCGAUCAUCUUUUGUCUUAGAUUCUAAGAACACCUGAGGAUUCAUCCGAGUGAAGUCCCAAUUUCUACUUAUCGACGUGUUCGUUGUUGGUUUGGCCGGGUUAAUAUCCUGAUGGUUAUUUUGAGUAGUAAUGGAUUGGGAUAAUACUGUGAAAGCAAUGCUAAUCUCAGCAUGAGAGACCUACUCAUUCAGAGAGUCUUUGAGAAUUGGCUGUGGUGCUUGUUGAUUUUCAUCUCUCUUUCUAUUAGUUCUCUUAGGAGGAAUUUACUGUGAAUAGAUAGAGGAUGGGUUAGAAGAAUAUUUUUAAUAGAUUUCAUACUCUAUCACAUGAAUUAGUGAGACUUUCCUUAAUGUUUCGUCUGUACUAGCUCAUAAGUGUGACACACUUCACACCCCUGAACAAGAGUAUUUAAUGCGGCUUUCAGACACCCUAGAACACAUUAAACCUAUUUCUCUAAUACCAAGUUUUACAUAACCCGAGACCACCCAUUAGUCAUAACAUUAUUCUUAGAGCCACAAAUAACCCCAAGAUAAUCUAUGGCCUGGCAUGCAUUAGGAUACUAAAGAAAUAACAAAAUACUAGGCAGAAACUAACUAAAAAAAUAGAUAGAAGUUAUAAUAAUGUAAAACUAACUAUCAUUAAUAUUAUAGAUAGAAUUAUUUGAUGAAAAAAUAUACUAAAAAUUUAGACAUUUGUUUGAAAGUCUCUACUCAUAAUGAGUUAUUGGUACAAGCUCCCAACUAACUCCAACUGAUUGAAAUAAAAUAAAAUACUAAAAUAAAUAAAUAAUAACUAGUCCUCAAAUGAUAAUGACUCACCAAACUACUAUUAGGUGGUAUGGGAAUGUGUUAAGUAUGAUUUGGGUGUUGAGCAUUCAAACCUAUAGUAUGAGACAAUAUAGUGAAAAGAUCUAUGCAGACAGUACUUUGAAUAUACUAAGUAUGCAAGAUGGGAAACUAACCUACAUAAACUGCAACAUGAAUGCAUGAAACAUGACAAACAUUAUACAAAACCAAGUAUAAACAUGUAGUGGAUGAAACUGAAUACUUGAAUACAAGGUCAUGAAUAAUCUAAAUUGAGACGUAAACUGAAACAUCAACAUAGUAUUGUGGGAGAUAACAAUAACCGACAUACCUAAAUAUGAGUGAAUCAAGAUUGAACAUGUAACCCUAGUUGGAAGGGGUCAGUACCUUUCCAAGGGUACUAGCAUAGGCUGGCGUGGAUCCACUAAACUGAGGUCCCAAAGGACUAAGGUUCAUGCCUCAAAUAAUGGGUUACUUUCUUAUAACCUAUGGUCACAUUGUAGUUCUGGAACAUUGGAACUUUUACUAAUGGUCUCAGCCUAAUUGACGGGUGUCGUUAUCCCUGUGUUCACUUGUUGCUAAGUACUACAAUAAACUAAAAGACACUAAAAUUUAAACUGAAUUGCCCAUCUUGAUAUUAUUCUAAAAGUAUCAAUUAUGGAUAAUUUGAAGUUCUUAAAGACAUGUAAACAAAUAAAUGUAUGAUUCCCUACCUAUCGAGUAAUCAUAACCCACCACCUUUGAUGAUAAUAGUUAAAUCUAACCAUAGUAGGGAAUUUCAUAAUUCAAAAAAAACUCAAUGAUUUAUCAACCAAAGGGAAUUUUUAUGGUCUAUGAACAUGGGGAGAGGUGAAUAUUAUGGAAAAACAUGGAAUCAUGGUAUAAUUAAAAAAUUAAACUGAGGAAAUUUAGGAAAACUCAUAUUUGACCCAGAACCAAAACUUAAGAAUUUAAAAGCUUUUGGGACUCAAUGGGAUAAAGGGACACAUUGAUGAAAUCCCAUAUACCUGGAGGUGGAAGUCUAGAAGAAAUCAUUAGAAUUUAAAGUUGAAGUUGAGAAACUUAACUUCGCUUUAAAGGAGAAUAAUCACCACUUUUUACUAUUUCCAAUUGAUUUUUUAAUGUAAUGAGGAAUUUUGGAAAAUUUAUGCUUAUAUACAACAAUUGUAAAGGCUUAAACGACAUAGAUUAGGAGUUAAAAUAAUGGGAAAAUAUUAAACAAUCCUUUUUUAAAUGUUCAACAAAAAAUUGAUACCAGUCAUAAUGACUCGCUAGGUCAGGUAAUAAGUCAUUCCUUGGAACUUUUGUCAGGGGUUCCAUACCAUAGUCCCUUAUUUUUAUGACCAAGAAUUCUUACCAAAAGACUAGUUACGAUUAAUAACAAGUAUUUAGAAGGAGUCUUAAUCAAGAACUUAAUUUCUUGGAUUCUUUCUGUUAUGAAGAUGGGUCUACCUAAUGAAUCAUUAGGACUGAUAAUGAAUCGUAUGAUGGACUCAUAACCACUAAGAUAAAAUAUAGAUCCCUCACUAUUGUGGAAAUGACUUCAUACAAUGAGUCAUCGUGUUUGACAAUGGGUCAUUGCUAGAGUUAUUGUCAAUGACAGUUAAUAGUCCCUUAGGAAAAUUGCCAUUCCUUUUUCCUGCACUAACGUAUUUAGGUGAGACUUAUGUUGUUGGAAAGCUAAUUCAAUAACAUAUAUUAUGGUGGAUCUAGAGAUAAAAUAUUGGGGUAAUACAGGCUUAAGAUCCGCCAAACUAACAAAGAUGCAGUUAUUGAUGGCAAAUCAUAAAGUAAAAAAGCUUAUAGGCAUAUCAUUUGAUGUUUUGGCCAAGGUAGAAAGCUUUAUUUUUCCUGUUGACCUUAUUUUAUUGGAAUUCAAGGUUGAUUUUGAGAUGUGCAUUAUUUUAGGAAGACCGUUACUUUCCACGGGUAUAGAAUUGGUGGAUAUAGAAAAAGAUGAGCUAAAGUUUAGGUUGAAUGGAUAUUGAGAAAGGUGAGCUAAAGUUUAGGUUGAAUAAUGAGGUACUCAAAUUCUUUGUUAUAAAAUUAUGAAGAAUCCAACAAACAUGAGGGUGGUUUCGAUAAUAACAUUUUAGAUAACUCGAGCCAACCAUCACCACCUUCUGGAAAUAAACCCGGUGUGUCUCUUGAUGCCCCAGUUGGGGGGGAGUCUACAUCUGAUACCUACAGCAUUGCAAGUAUGUCUCAACUUUGAUGCUUUAGGUCUUUUUUGAGUUAUACACUAAGAACGGUGGAUCUUGUUAUGAUACCCCUCCGAAUUUUUGUUAUGAACUCUAAGUAGUAAAGAUAUGAGAUUGUGCCAUUGUGGAUCUUGUUACGGCAUUAAUAUUAGGGACAGAAUAACUAUAACUUAUCAUUCCAUGAACUAGAUAUGGAGUUGUUGGUAAUGUAACCCUUUACUAUGUGAAUAUGAGGUGUUUACAUUAUUCCCAUUAUUUUUCAUCGACUAUAUUAUUAAACACACCUUUAAAUCACAAUUUCGAAGUUAAGGGUUUUGUGAGUAAAUCAAACAAAAUUUUCUUUAAUCUGAACCUCUUUUUAACCCAUUUUUACAUGAUAUUUCUCAUGUUGAAUCCUAUAAACUUAGGAAACAUGUUUUAAAAAUAAUUUUUCUUUUCCCCCCUUAAUUUUUAAUCCAUUUUGGACCUAACUCAAAUAUGGACAAAAUGGAUAUCAUAGUCAUUCUUUUAACAUGUAAAUGCAAUAUUUGAAUGUUGUAUUUGAUUCUAAGCCUAUUAAUUCGACAAAGGCUCCAUGUUGAAGAACUUUGGAAUGGGAUUUUAUUGUUUGGAGUUUGGUUUGGCUUUACUUCUUUCAGAUUGAGUAUUGUAGUUAAUAAAUAGAUAAAACAUGUUGUGGGUUGGUGGAAAAUAACUAUGUGGUUUAUAUUUUGAGAUUAUCUUUCUUAUUAUUUUGUGCCUAUUUGGGGGCUUAUAUUAUGCUAUUUUUGACUUGAGAUAUCUAAUAUUGAGUGUUUCCCAUGUGGGCUCUUUAUUUAAUGCAUUGGCCUUAUUUGUGCAUUUAAGUACCUUCAUUCUAGAUAUAAUGCCUAUCCAAUGAAUCAUUUUUCUAAUAUAGCCCUUAUUUGAGCAUUGUUCCCCCUAUUAGGAUAGAAAUACCUGCGUUAGGGGCUAAUAGGAUAUCUAUAGUGUCUUACAUGCAUGUUUAUUAUAAUGGUUCCUAAAUCGAGUUGAUAAUCAUGAAUUAUGGACAUGUUGAGAUAAUUUUUGGCUUACUUUUUAUAUAUAAACAUAUAUAUAUAUGUGUGUGUAUGCGCGCGUAUGUCUAUUGGAUAGAUUGGAUGUCAUCUUAGUAUUAGAAUUAAAUCCUCAUGACAUACAUAUACAUUCAUAAGAUAUUGGUACCAUUGAGAAACCUCAAUUUUGAAAGAUAAUGAGACACUUUUAUGAAAUCCCUCUCUAUGAACACAAGUUUGAAGGGUGAGUUGAGUUGAGGUAUGAGAUAUAGUAUAUGAGUUGUAAACCCUUAUGGGUCCUAUGUAAAAGUUGUAAGCUUGGUGGGUGUAUAUAAAAAGUCAUACGAUGGCUUUAAUCAUUCUCCCUAUCAACAUUGCAUUGCUUUGUAUUUACACAAAUAUUUUUCAUUUCUUAUUUAGUUUUCUUGUUUUGGAUUUAGUUAUAGUAUGUUCUUCAUAUAUAUCUAUUGUUUCUAUUUCUAUAUACAUAUAUUAGAAGUGGAAACAAUGUGAGCUACCAUUUGGGAAUUUUCUGAUUAUAAGUUUGUAAUACCCUGUAAUAUUCUAAAUUCGAUUCAGCUCUUAGUUGCAUGCUUAAGGGGUUCAAGGUUUGCAAUUUUCACUAAGUGUUUAGUCAUUUUAAGACCCCAAUACUUUUGAAAUUUUAUUUUGGCCUCCCAGAUCCUGAGACGUUAGUUUUUUAGUUGUUUCAUGUUUAAGGUUAUUAAAGGUGUGUCCCAGGGAAGUUUCAGGAUUUUUAAAGGGGAUUCGGGGUGCUUUGGGUCACAGAGGUAGCAAGCCCUUGCAAUAGGCCCACGGUGUGAGGAAAACUCCACAGGUGAAUAGGGUCUCAGCGUGAGGGCGUGUUAACUAGUGUAAGGGUCACGAUAUAAGGGCCACUCCAUCAGAGUAGGGGUCGUGACACAAUAGGUUAGUUCGGUCAUCCUCUUUCAGGGACACUCCAUCGGAGUAGAGGUUGCAACAUAAUAGGGUAGUUCGGCCAUCCUCUUUCAAUAAUGAAAUCAAUGGGAGAAUAAGUCUUUUUCCCUCAACUCAAUUCAUCCAUAAUACAAUUUUGGGCAUCCAUAGGGGCAUUAUUUGCCUUUUCCUCUCAAACUUAUUCUGAAGAAACCCUCCUCCUUCCCAAGAGCAAGAACCCAAGCUCCUUUCCCCAAGAAUCCAAGAGUUUAAGCACCCAAGUUCAAACAAUCUACAAGAAUUCAAUUAUUGAGGUAUGUGGGGUUUUGAACAAGGUUAAACUUUUAACAUUGUGCUUAAAUGCAUGACUUUUCAAGUUAAAUUUACAUAUUUUAAGAUAGAUUUCAUUCCCAAAUCUUUAUGUGUUAGAAAUAUAGAAUUAUCAUGUUAUCUAGUUAGUAAAGAGCAUAAGAUUUUCAUUUAUUCAUGUUUCCAACUACAAGUUUGAUAUUUAUAUUAAAUUCUAUUAUUUCGAUGAGAAAUUGCUAUUCUAUUAAGUUUGAUAUGCUUUUGUGCUCAACUUCACGUACUAUGCUUACAUACUCAAAUGUUCAAUGUUUUUGGUUAUCUAUAUUAUGACUUCAUACUACUAUUUUAAGAGUUUUUAUUAUGUUUUAUUGAAAACAUUCAGUGUUGGUGGUUUAUGAUCACCCGAUACCUAUGUGGUUACUUACUAUUUUCAAGUUGCAGUUUAUCCUUGUUAGUACAGUACGAAGUUAUGUUAAACCAUAAAUAAUACCAGUGUCAUUCAGUUGGGAGUAAGAUUUAGAAUCGAGAGGGAAGUAUGGGUUCAGCACACCCUACUCCCCAAAAACAACAUGCCCGCAUAGGAUUUUUGGUCUCACCAAGAUCAUUUUCCCUUGCCCAAAUGGGCUCAGUAUGGUGAUCACUCCAGUUUAGGUUCCACUUAGAUAUCACGGAUAAAACAACCCUCCUUAACGUGGGUGAUAUGUUUGACUCUAUAGUGAAAUCCGUGGUUUAUGUUGUUUACAUGAUAGCUCCCACAAUUUCAGUCACUAUUGGCAGUCUAUUUUAGUUCAGUUUUGCUAGACCAAGUAGUUAGUUUUCAGAAUUAAUUUAGUCAGUUGUACAAACUUCAUUAGUUAUUUAGAUAAUUUUAGUGUAUUAAAAUACUUGGUCUUGCUUAUUCAGUCCUAUAUGUUCAUGCAAUUACAUUCAAUUUUAGCCUAUAUUUGAGUUAGUCCUUACCUCACAAACUAGUAUAUUCAAAGUAUUGAUCGCAUACCUUUCUCAUACACUAUGUUGUCUUAUAAUAGUGGUUCGGAUGCACAGUUCCCUAACAAUCCUUAGACAUCUCAGCAGUUCCCUGCGGUAGUAAUGUGAGUCCUCAUCCAUUGAGGAUAUGAUACAUCAUUUUAUUCAUUUUCGUGUUUCAUUAUAAUUCAGUUAGUUGGAGUUAGUUAGAGGCUUUUAGAUAGUUAGACAAUCAUUCAGUUUUUAGUUAUUAUCAGUUGUUCAGACAGAUAGUAUUCAGAUUGACAAUAUCUUAUUUGGUUUAGUUUCCAUAUAUAUGGUUUACUUUCAUUUCAUUCAUUGCUCACAGCAGAUACCAGACCAUGGGAUAGCUUAGGUUCACAUAUGGCCUUGACCAUCGUGACGUGACUAGGGAUAGCCUUGGGUCAUGAAAAAACUUUGUAUCAGAGCCUAAGGUUUCAAAGUUUCCAAGGGUGUCUGAAAUCCACGUUGAAUAGAGUAUUAUGCACGGGUGUUAAGCGUGGCAUACUUAUGGACAAGAGGCUACGAGACAUUUUUAGGAAAGUUUUCCUUCUUUCAGUAUUCAUGUCGUAUAAAAGAUCGUGAGCUAUACUGAAUUCCAUUUUCUAACUCAUACUUCAAUCCGUUUACAGACAGUGCCUCCUAGAAGAAACAAUGAAAGAAGGAAUGGGGAUCAUCCCAUACCACCACCUAUUCUGAAGAUCCCCAGAAUGAUCAUGUUUCUCACACUUAGUUCAGGGCCCCUUUCACUGCCUUAGCCCAUUCUGUAGCUGCGCAUAAUAACCAGAAGGUUGUUUCCCCAGCUAAUCUAGUGGAAAAUACAAUUGUAUCUAGGAUUAGGGAAUUCACUUGGAUGAUUCCCCAUUUGUUUUCUGGGUCCAAAUCUGAGGAGGAUCCGUAGGAGUUUCUGUACAUGGUACAAAGGUGACAAAUAUCAUGGGUGUCACUUUAAAUGAAAGUACAGAGUUGGUUGCUUAUCAAUUAUAGAGAUUAGUUCACACCUGGUUUAAGAAGUUGAAGGAUGACAAGGGUAUGGAAGCAGAUCCUAUUGACACUACAUGACCCAGGGCCUUAACAUAAUAUGCAUCCUAAUUCCGAUCGGGAUUGGAGACCACCUACCCAACCCAACAUCCUGGCGCCUGCCUUUAGUUGGCUGAAUUUCUAACAUAUAACUAGAUAGUAUAACUAUCCUGAUUACAGACUCUAGGAUAGGUCAAUUAACAAGACUGACCCAAACUAGUCCGGCCGUCCCAUACCAACCGUCCAACCAUACCAAGUAAAAAUAAACCAUAGAUCAAACUAUAACAAAAUAAGUUACAUUAAUAAUUAAAUAAUCCUAAAAUGAAAUACGAUAGAACAACCAACAAUCUUGUCAACCGGUGUCAGCCCCAAUACAAAUACCAAUAAUAAGGCUGACACCAAUAUCGAUCCCGCCCAUGCCAACCCAUAGUUCUACAAAAGCCUCUAACCAAAAGAAUAUAAAUAUCUAGUUGGGACAUGCCCCAAGCCAUAGCCAAAACCAAGUUUCUUGUGUUUUAAUUUAAUUAAGAAAUGACAUCCAUGAAAUGGAGCCUUAUGAAUAGAUAGAAGCUCACAACUUCAAUCAAAAGUUGACCCCUGAGUGUCCAAAUGCAAAGCACGAGGUGUAAAAUGGUCAAUUCCUGUAUCGACUGGUGAUACAGCCACUCGAAGAUGGUUUAGCGGGAGAACGUUAGUAGGAACUCAAGAUAAGGAUAAAAUAAUCCCAAUUAUAAAACCAAGUAAAAAUAUCCAUAUGCACAUAACCAUACAUAUAUAUAACCAUGCCGGGAAACGGAACUGGGUUUAGCAUGCCAUUUAAAACCUUUACAUGGGAUGUGUAGUUUUUCCAUCCUAAAACCACCCAUGGCCUAUAUGAGUUCAGCUCCCCAUAUUGAAAGGGACCCAGAGCGUAAAGAUACACAACAAAAGAAAAGAACCUGGGAUGACUAGUAUAUCCCACAAAAUAUAAACUGUGACAUCAUGCACACCGUCACUAGGACCAAACCUCACAUCGGCAAAUAUGAGUUUCCAAUUUUGAUCCCCCGGGGUCUCCACCUUUAACGACUUUGCUAAACACCCCCUUUAAGCCUAAUUAAAACCAUUACCUAACAACCAAAUCAUUAUCCAUUUAUUAUUAACCAAGUCAAUUAGUAGUGGUACCAUCAUACCGACUAUAACUUAUAAGUAUUGUCCUUAGCCCAACCUUUUUGAGAUUAAGGGAUUCCCAUGUACCCAUAGAUCAUAUUAUCCAGUUCACUUGGGGUAUUCCCAUGUACCCCACAAGCAUGUUUAUUAAGAGAAACCAUUCCGAACCAAUUUAAACCAUUUAUAUCAUUUAGGGUUCCAUUACAAAAUUUAAACCAUGCAUAAGUUCCAUUGAAAAACCAACAUUAUAGUGAAAGCAUUGUUAUCCAAUUAACUUGGGGGAUUCCUAUGUACCCCACAAAUAUGUUUUGAAAGGCAAACCAUUCCAAAACUAUUUAAAACAUUCAUAUUAUUUAGGAUUCUAUUACUAAAUUUAAACCAUGCAUAAGUUCCAUUGAAAACCAAUAUUAUAGUGACGGCAUUGUUACAAGCAUUUUAUCAAACACAGUAGGAGCAUAGUAUUUCCAAAACCAAUGUCUGUUACUAAAUAACCAUUCCCAUGAAAAAAAUUAUCCAAAACCAUUAUUAAAAAAUAUAAAAGCAUAAUUAAAUCAGGGAAAACCAAAGAUGUUGACAGAGGGAAAUCACAAAGACAAACCCCAAUAAAACCAUAAUUUACUUUGCCCAAAACUCUAGAGAUGAUUUAAGAGUGUGUUCCAAAUGUUUAAAAAUAGAAUAGUAGGGAUAAUAACCUCCUAAUAGGAAUAUAAGUUAUGGGGACUUAUUAGGAUAAGUGGAGAAAUGUCCAGAUUUCCCUCACUUAAAUUGCAUUUAAUUACCAUCAUAGGGUACCACUAACCCUUAUGAAUCAUAUUUCCAGUACGAGUGGUACCAACCUCUGAUAAACUAGGCUUGCUCCUUAUACCCAACACUAUCCAAGGUUUGACACACCCAAACCCAAGUCAUAUCCCAGUGUAUGGCUAGUACCCAAAAACCGUACCCCUGGAUGAAUAGAAUCUAAGAGGUUUGAACACUGACCACCAUAUGAGUCAUGGGUAUGACUCAUACCCUGGCUUACGACUCAUAGUGAGAUACUAAUACAUAGAUCAAACCUAAGUCACUAAGUAUAAGGUUAAGUAAAGAAACAAAACAACCUGUAUCUACUGAUAUGACUCGUACCACCGAAGUCAUACCUAUUUCUGUGACUAAAUCCAUCCUACCAACCAACACUGGUCAAUACACAAUUGGACCAUACCACCCGUACCCCAGUGUACAACUCUCUACCAAAGUCAUAUCAUUCCCAGAAACCAUAAAUUUAGCAAAUUUUCUAAGGUCUAGAAAAUAGGGUGUUUCACAUAUGGAGUGAAAGGAGUUUGCCACGGCUUUCCUAGGCAGGUUCUUCCCACUAGAUUUGAGGAAAGAUAAGGUUCAGGAGUUCAUAAAAUUAAAGCAUGGAAGUAUAAGGGUGAAGGGUUACUGCUCAAGUUCACUCAGUUGGCAAGUUAUGCAUCUAUGAUGGUGGCUGACAAUAGUUCCAGGAUAAGUAAGUUUGCAUCUAGUGUAUUUGAUAGUGUAGUCAAGGAGUUUAGGACCACCAUGUUGAUUAAGGAGAUGGACCUAUCUAGACUUAUAGUUCAUGCUUAGAAUAUAAAGAAGAAGAAGAUUAAGGAUAGAGAGAGAGAAUAAGAGAGCCAAAAUAGGUAGUUUUAAAUUUUCUCAACAAAUGUUGGAAGGAGGAAAUCAUUUUGAUUUUCACUAGAAAUUUUUAGCCCAAGCUCCAUUUUCAGCUAGUGUACCAGUACCUAACUUCAGGCAGGAUAAUUGAGAUAGACCAUGAGGCUCUAAGCAUAGGGUAAUUUAAGCAAGGGCCGUACCAAUUUGAUGUCAUUCUUGGCAUGGAUUGGUUUCACUCAUUUUAUGCCUUAGUAAAUUGCAAAAAUAAGAUUAUUCAAUUCCAAUUUCCUAAUGAGCUAGUUAUCGAAUGAAGGAUUAGUGCUUCACUGUUUAGGGGUAAGAUUGUUUCGUAUCUUAAGGCAAGGAGAAGGAUAUCUAAAGGGUACAUUUACCAUCGCCUCCAGGUUAAGGACUCAAAUUCUGAGACUCCGAGCCUUGAGUUAGUUUCUAUUUUAAGGAAUUUUCUAGAUGUAUUUCUUAAAAAUCUUCCUAGAGUUUCUCUUGAAAGGGAAAUUGUCUUCGGAAUAGAUCUACUUCUGGAUACCUAUCCUACCUCUAUUCCCUCUAAAUAAAUGGCUCUAAACAAGCUUAAGAAAUUGAAGAAAUAGUUGAAAGAUCUUUUAAACAAGGGUUUCAUCAGGACUAUCAUUUCUUUAAAAGGUUCUACAGUCAUAUUCAUGCGUAAGAAAGACGGUUCUCUCAGAAAUGCUCAUUGAAUAUCGCAAGUUAAGAAAAGUCACCAUCAAGAAUUAGUAUAAAUUUCCCAGAAUUGAUAACUUAUUUGACCAACUUCAGUGGCAAGUUAUUUCUCUAAGAUAGACCUUCGAUUUGGCUAUCAUCAGCUUAGAGUUAGAAAUGUGACAUUCCAAAGACAAUAUUUAGAACUCUUUAUGGUCACUUCAAAUUUUUAGUUAUGUCUUUUAGACUAACAAAUGCCCCUGCAUCUUUCAUGGACUUGAUGAAAAGGGUGUUCAAGCAAUACUUGGACAUGUUCAUUAUUAUCUUCAUUAUUGGUAUCCUUAUUUAUUAUUGUAGUGAGAAUGAACAUGCAGACCACCUGAGAGUUAUAUUGCAGACUCUUAGAAACCAUUGGUUAUUCAAUAUAUUUAGUAAGUGUAAAUCUUGUCUAAGAUCAGUAGCUUUCCUUGGUCAUAUAGUCUCCAGUGAUGGCAUUUGAGUUGACCCUUAAUAUACUAAAGAAGUAAGAAAGUGGACUAGACAUAUCUUUCCAUUAGAUAAUAGAAGUUUCUUAGGUUUGGUUGGCUAUUAUAGAUGGUUUGCUGAAGGUUUUUCUUCUAUUACCUACCCCAUGUCUAGACUAACCCAGAAAAAGGUUAAAUUUUAGUGGGUUGGAUUUUUACGAGAAGAGUUUUUAUGAGUUAAAGACUCCACUCACUUUCACCCUAGUCUUGACUUUUCUAGAUCACACAGAUGGAUUUAUUAUUUACUGUGAUACUUCUAGAGUUGGUCUUGGUUCUGUUUUGAUGUAGAGAGGCAAGUUCAUAGCCUACGACUCUAGACAUCUUAAAAUCCAUGAAAAUAAUUAUCCUACCCAUGAUCUUGAGUUUACAGUUGUUGUUUUUACCUUGAAAAUUUUGAGGCAUUAUCUUUAUGGAGUUUAUGUUGAUGUGUUAAUAAAUUACAAGAGUUUAUAGUAUGUGUUCACACAGAAAGACCUAAAUCUUUGUUAGAGAAGAUGCCUUGAGUUGAUGAAAGAUAAUGAUAUGAGUAUGUUGUAUCAUUCGGUCAAUGCCAAUGAAGUGGCAGAUGCCCAAUUAGAAUGGCAAUAGGUAGUGUUGCUAAUGUUGAAGUUGAUAAGAAAUAGUUAGCCUAUGAGGUUCAUCAUUUAUCAAGGUUAGGAUGGAGUGUUGCCCAUCUUUUAUCAUCAGUUGGUUGAUUCAGCAGAAGGUAGUAGAUGGGUUUAGAAUGGAGCAAAUUUUUCAUGUGUUGUUGAAGUAAAAGAAAAGCCAGAUAGGGAUCCUAGUUAAUUUAAGUUGAAGGAGGAGGUUAGAAAGCAGAAGGUGGAGGUUUUCUCCCAAGAGGGAGAUGGUGUUCUUCAUUGUUAGGGUAGGUUAUUUGUUCCGUGUGUUGAUGAUUUGAGAUAGUGAAUACUUGUAGAAGCACAUGGUGCAUGAUAUUCUAUUCAUCCCAAACCCACUAAGAUAUAUCAUGACUUGCAGGAAAUCUAUUGGUAGAGUGGUAUGAAGAAAGACAUUAUAGAUUUUGUGGCUAAGUGUUUGAACUAUCAGCAUGUUAAGUUUGAGCACCGAAGGCCUAAUGAUAUACUUCAAGAGUUUAGCAUCCCCACUUGGAAGUGGGAGAUGGUGAAUAUGGAUUUUAGGACAAGAGUGCCUCGUACACAUCAUUAUCAUAUUUUAAUUUGGAAAUGCCAGUUCAUACUCUUCUUCAGCUGAGGAAAAUGCUAGGCUUUAUCUUAGGGGUUGGUGAAAUUACAUGGGGUUUCAUUAUCUAUUAUUUCAUAUAGAGGUACUCAUUUUACCUUUUAUUUUUGGAAGGCUUUUUAGAAGGGUCUUGGUACCCAAGUUCAUCUUAGCCAAGAUUUUCAUCCUCAGACAAAUACUCAAGAAGAGAGGACUAUUUAGACCUUAUAGGACAUAUUGAGGGUGUGCGUGAUCGACUUUGAAGGUAGUUGGGAUCACAAAUUUCCUUUGAUUGAUUUUGCCGACCAUAAUAGUUACCACUCCAGUAUCAUAUUUCUUUGUUUGAAGGUCUUUAUGGGAGAAAAGAUGGAUCUCCUAUUAUAUGUUUAAAGCAGGUGAGACUACUUUGAUAGGGCCAGACUCGGUGUUUGAGUCAAUGGAAAAAGUUUAGUUGAUUCGAGAAAAGAUAAAGACAACCAAAGUCAUCAAAAAUCUUUUGUAGAUGUGAGAAAAAAAGAUCUUAAGUUUGAGGUUGGGUACCUGAUCUAUUCGUAGAUUUAGCCUAUGAAGAGAAUGAAAUGAUUUGGAAAGAAGGGUAAGCUUAGUCCCUUCUAUGUGUGACCAUAAAAAAUCUUAAACCAUUUUGGGAAGGUAGUGUAUGAACUUGAGUUUUCUAUAGAUUUGGCAUCAGUACACAUGGUGUUCCAUAUUUGUUUGUUAAAUAAAUGCAUUGGUGAUUCAUCUUUGGUUGUUCCUUUAGAAAAUGUGGUAAGGGAUAGCCUUUCCUAUAAGAAGUCCCAAUAUAGAAUCCUUGAUCAUUCGAUUGUAGGCUAAGGAAUAAAGAGGUUUCUUUGGUUAAGGUGCUAUGGAGGAAUCAGUCCAUAGAGGGAUCUACUUGGCAGGUAGAUGCAGAUAUACCAGCUCGGUAUCCUUAAAUUUUCUUCACGAAUUCAGACUAAGCUUUAGGUAAUGGUUUGAGUUAGAUUAAAUUUUUUCAUUCUCUAUUUUAGCUGUACAACUAUUCACAUGUCACAAUAUGGAUUCAUGAAGUUAGUACAGCCUUUGUAAUAUGUAUCAUAUUUUAGACCCAGUUAUUUGAUCAUGUUUAAUCUUAUUAGUCUUUAGUAUAGACUCCAAGUCUCUAAAGUAUAUCAAGAUUAACCAGACUCAUUCGAGGAUGAAGGGUCCCAGGGAGGACAUAUAGUAAUACCCUAUAAUAUUCUAUGUUUGAUUGAACACUUAAUUGCAUCCUUAAGGGGCUCAAGGCUUGAGAUUUUAACUAAGUGUUGAGGACUUAGUCACUUUAAGACCCCCCAAGACUUUGCAAAUUUUUAUUUUGGACUUCGCAAACCUGAGACAUUGGUUCUUGAGUUGUUUUAUUCUUAAGGCUAUUAUAAGUGUGUCCUUGGAUAGUUUUGGAAUUUUGUAAGGUGAUUCAAGGUGUGUUUGGGUCAGAAAGGCAAAAAGCCAUUUUGAUAGACCCAUAGCACGAGGGAGACUCCAUAGGUGAAUGGGGUAGCGGCAUAAGGUUGUCUUAAAUAGAGCAUAGGUCACACAAUGAGGGCCAACCUAUUGGAGCAGGAGUUGCGACACGUCAGGGUAGUUUGGCCAGUAAUGAAAUCAUUGGGAAAAUAAGUCAUUUUUAACCAACCCAAUUCGUCCAUACCACAAUUUCAAGCAUUUAUAGGGGCAUUAUUUGCCACUUACUCUCAAAAUUACUUUAAACAAACCCUUCUCCUUCCCAAGAACAAGAACCCAAGCUCCUUCCCCAAGAAUCCAUGAGUUCAAGCACCCAAGUUCAAAUAAUCUUCAAGAAUUUAGUUAUUGAGGUAUGUGGGGUUUUGGACAAGGUUAACCUUUCAACCUUAUGCUCAAAUUCAUGACUUUUUAAGUUAAAUUUAAAUGUUUUAAAAUAUAUUUCAUUCCCAAAUCUUUAUGCGUUGAAAAUAUAGAAUUAUCAUGUGAUCUAGGUAAUAAAGAGCAUAGAAGUUGCAUUUAUUCAUGUUUCCUACUACAAUUUUGAUGUUUAUCUUGAAUUCUAUUAUUUCUAUGAUAAAUUUCUAUUCCCUUAAGUUUGAUUUAUUUUCAUGCUCAACUUCACGCACUAUUCUUAUAUCCUCAAAUGUCCAAUAUUUUAGGUUCUCCGCAUUAAGACUUCAUACUACUAUUUUAAGAGUUGUUAUUGUAUUUUGUUGAAAACAUUUAGUGCUAGGGGGUUAUGAACACCCGAUACCUAUGUGUUUACUUACUAUUUUCAAGUCAAAGUUGAUCCUUGUUAGUAUAGUACCACAUUAUCUUAAACCAUGAAUAAUAACAGUAUCAUUCAGUUGGGAGUAAGAUUAAGCACCGAGAGGGAAGUAUAGUUUUAACAUGCCCUACUUCCCAGAAACUAUGUUCCCUCAUAGGAUUUUGGUACUCGCUAAAGAGAAUUUCCCCUUACCCAAAUGGGCUUAGUAUACUAAUCACUUCAGUUUAGGUUCCACCCCGAUGGCAAGGAUGGAACAACCCUCCUCGACGUGGGUCAGACAUCGGACUCCAUGGUGAUAUCCAUGGUUUAUGUUGGCUACAUGAUAUCUCCCACUGUUUCAAUCAGUAUUAAUAGUCUAUUUCUAUACUAUUUUUCUGGACCAAGCAGACUGUUUUUAGUAUUAAUUUAGUCAAUUGUACAAACUGCACCAGUUAUUCAGAUAAUGCCAAUAUAUUAAAAUACUUGGUCUUUCAUAUUUUGUUCUAUAUGUUCAUGUAAUUACAUUUAUUUUUAGACUGUAUUUUAGUUAAUACAUACCUCAUGUACUAGUACAUUCAAAGUAAAGAUUGCAUACCUUUCUUUUGCACUAUGUUGUCUUAUAACAUAGGUUGGGAUGCAUAGUUCUCCGACCAUCCUUAGACUGCUUAUCAGUUCCCUGUGACAGUAGUGUUAAGUCCUCAUCCAUCAAGGAUGUGAUAUGUUAUUUCAUUCAUUUUCAUAUUUCAUUAUGAUUGAGUUAGUUUGAGUUAGUAAAGAGGUUUGCCCAAUUAACUCCUAAUGAUUCUUAGAGUUUUCAGAUAGUUAGACAGUCAUUUAGUUUACAGUUAUUAUCAGUCAUUUCCAUAGACAGUUUAGUUUUGGUAUUUUUAUUAGCUACUUUAGACAUGCCUUAUAUAUGUUUUAAUAUUCAGAUUGACCGUAUCUCAUUUUGUUUAUUUUCCGCAUAUUUGUUUUACUUUAUUUUAUUUAAUGCUCACAAUAGGUACCAGACCAUGGACUAGCUUAGUUUCACUUAUGGCCUUAAUUACCAUGUCAAAACUAGGGUGUAGCCUUGGGUCCUGACAAGGUUAGUGAAAAUAGUGUCACUUUACUUACCUUAUUUUCUAAUUUUUCUUGGUUGGCCUAUGAUAACUACUAAGUAAAAGUGGACUAUACUCACACAUGCUGUGGCCUUUUGUCUUAGAUCCCAGUUUGAGUACAACGCAUGGCAUUUGAGAUUUUAAUUAGAGUUUGAUCAGAUUUGAGGUACAAGAUCAUCCUAUUGCUUAUGUCAGAUUCUAGAUAUCAUUAUAUCUUUUAUCUCAUCUUUAUUUUGGAUAUAGAGAUAAAUUUUGUAUUUCUAUUUUUAGAUAUUGACUGGAUUUCUUACAUUAUAACACUAGGUUUAGCAGGGUUUAUGAUAUAUUUUUAGACUUCCUCUAGUAAUAUUAUUCUUGUUUACGUCUAGAUUCAUUCUAGAAGUAUUUCCUUAGGAUAUACUAUUGUUGUUUUGGGUUUUUCUUUAUUAUUUUAGGCGAUUUACUUACUCAUCAAGGCUUAACCAUGAUUAGUGCCAUCAUUAUCUAUUAGAGUAUCUAGGUUGACCGAUCUCUAAAGUGUAAGAGAAGGAUGUCUAGUAGAGUCUCGUGGAUUGGUAUGAGGACGUCUGUAUCUAUAUUCAAGAUCCUAUAUGAUAUCUUGUAAUACCCCAAGUUUUGAGCUCUAGACAAGUCGUACGAGUUGUUCUUAUCUAAUGUUCUAAGUUAUAUUCCACUCUUUUCUGCAUAGAUGGUGAGGACUAGAUCUCUAGAGGCUAGUUAUAUUCAACUACCGUUGAGGCUAAACCCUAGAUUAAAGGGAGAGGCAGGGGUUAGGAAUAGGGAACGUCCCAUAUUAGAAGACGUUCUAGGAAGUCCUCUCUAAAGAUCGAGGUAGUGUAUUAUAGUAUUGGUUAUUAGAUAGGAUAUGUAAGGCUUGCUUAGGUCCCACAGGGUUGAGUUGACACACCAAUCAUUUAGGGUUUUUUAGUUAGUCUCUUGAGUUAUUUGAAGGGUAUUCCAUCGUGUGUACCUGGUAUUUCUCAGACUUUGAGUGAUGUUCCAUUAUUAGUUCCUCAUGUUCCAUGGUUUCAUGGCACGUUCAAUGCUUAAAACAAGGAUAUUAUGCAAUAACAUAUGUACUUUUGUUUGGUUUGAUCCACAACUCGACCCACGAGUCGUAGGGUGAUACCAACCUGAUUUUCCUACAUAGUUAAGAUAAGAUGCAUUUUGUAUUUAUAAAUACACUCAUAUAGGGUGCUACCGACCUGAUUUUCCUACAUAGUUAAGAUAGGAUUCGUUUUGUAUUUAUAAAUACUUUCAUGAUGUUUUAUGAUUAGUUUACUCACUUUUACAUUAUUUUUAGGUUCUUAGACACAUUAUUAAUCCUUUUUUUAGGGAUUUUAAUCAAUUUGACAUUUUUGCAUUUUAAUCCAUGGAAAAUCUAUGGAUGCUUCUAGCGUGCUUGCAAUCGUGAGUACCAACAACCCAUAACUAGGGUUGGGGGAACAAUGGUGAUUUAACAAAAUAUAGUUAAGUAUAAAGUCAUUCUACACUAGUGUGCAUACAUGUAUUGGUAUUUCCUUCAAUUUGAUUGGUUCUAGAUAAAUACAAACGUUAGGAACUCAUUUGUAAUCUAGACUUUCCAGAGAGAGAGAGAGAGAGGUAGAGAUUGGGAAAAAUAAAAUAGCAACAGAAAUUUAAAGCUUUCAACUUUCAUCUAUUUAACUUGAGCCUUAACUGGGAUAGUUAGUCUGAGAUCACAAAAUAAGGGUUAGUAAUGUAAUGAUCUGAGUCUGAGAGGAGAUGAAUUUAAUUUAUCUAAUUCAAGGUUGAGAUAUGGUUGGUUAAUGCAUAUCUUAUUUGAUUUUUCGUGUAAGGCAUUUAGAUAGUCAGCUAGCACGAAUGAUAUGUAGAAUUAUGAAAUUAAGGGGGACAAAAUUCUAGUGCUCGGCUCAAAUUGAUAACAAUCCAAUCAACCAGCAACUUUUACUAUUAUAAAUAACUUUCACAAAACCACUUCUUUUAUUUUCAUAAUUCCCAAUUACAUCGACAAACUCUUGACAGGAUUUCGGCGUAUUGCUUGUAGGAUUGACCCCAACCUUGUUGGGUUCUAUAUUUGAUUCAGCGAUUGCUUUAUACUUUGUGAGAAGUGAAAUAUGGGUGACAUCAAAUUUUGGUGCCGUUGUUGGGGAAUACAGUUAUAAAGUGAUGGAUUAUGUUUGUUAAAAUUGUUUGUUUUGUUUAUUGAUAUUUUAUUUUCUACUACUUAUAUGGUAUAUGUUGGUGUAUGCCCAGUACAGGGAGUCAAGGCAAUCCACUAAUUCAAUCACUAUUUGGAAUUAAUUGAGGACAUGGUUUUUGGACAAAUUUUUGUCGCUCUCUAGAAUAUUGUAGUUGAAGGAUGAGAUCUAUAAAUUCAGAUAGUUUUAUUUAGAGGAACUAUAUAAGACAUGGUUGGUGUUUAAAAAAAAGCUACAGAAAUUUCCAAAUAACAUCAUCAUGGGUAGAAACUUGCUGGAGAUAUUCUACAGGCUAUGAAUGCUAAUAUGAAGGUUUUAACAGAUACCAUCAUAGGUGGUGCCUUCAUGAGUCUUUAUGGGGAGCACACUUCUAAAAUCUUAGAUUGUCUUAUUAAAACCAUCGAAGGAUGGCAUACUUAGGAGGUGUAUAAAUCAAUAAGUACUUACUUUAUUAGGGAAUCCAAUGAGCAGGUAGCAUUAAAUAAGAUGAUAACUCAAGAGGUAGCAUAAUUGAGAACUGAGAUUGGCCUACUUAUAAAGUAACUUUCAGUGAUUGGAUCAAAAAAGGUGAAUAUAGUGGGUUCAAGAAAGAAAAUUCAUACUACAAGGAAGUAUCUAUGAAUCUUAAUAUUGAGACGAAGGGUUUUUAAACAAAGGGAAAAGGGCCAAGGGUCUAAUAAAGAUAAUUAGAACUUAAGGCAAGAGAAUCAAAGUCGGAACUUUUAUCGAGAUAGGCAUAGAUAUUGGAGUAGUUUAUGUGAUUACGACCCAUAGGAGAAAAGAUAAUGACGAGUAAAAGGUGAACUUUAUGUCCCACUAGGGAACUUGGAUGAUGAAUCUUGGUGUUUAAGAAUUAAAGCAUUGUUUUCAAAGCUUGUGAAGAGUUCAAAAAGUCAAGAGAGUUGCCUUAAUGAAACUAAGGCAGAUAUUUAUGGUUUGAGACUGAAAAUAGAGUCUUAUACAACUGCUAUUAAGCAUCUUGAGCAAAACUUUGGGCAGAUGUCUACCAUAUUAAAUAAUUGUUAACAAGGACCUCUUCCUAGUAACUCUAUUUAGAAUUCAAAGAACAACAAUCACUGUCUUGCUAUUACUACUUGAGGUUUUAUGGCCACUGUUGAUCCAAUUAUGCCUAUGGUUGAUAAUAUAAGGAGUGAUUCCAUGAGCAUUGAGGGUGAAACAAAAAAAACUAGUUAUGAAUGAUGAGGCCUGUAAGAAGCCUAUAGUUACAAAAAAGGAGCUGACACUGAAAAAGUAAAGGGUAAAGAAGUCACACCACUACUUAAACCUAUUCCCCGACCUCCUCAAACUUUUCCCCAAUAAUUUAAGAAAAAAAUCAUACAGGUGAAAUAUUAGAAGUUUAUGUCCAUGAUAAAAGUUUUAUGUGAACAUCCCUCUCAUAGAAGCACUCAAACAAAUAUUGGGAUAUACAAAGUUCCUGAAAGAAUUGGUCAUAAAGAAAGGAACUGUUAGUUAUGAGUCUACUGGUAAUUUGCACCAUUGUAGUGCAAUUUUCUCAUUCUCUUAUACAAAAGAAAUAUGACCCUUAUGCCUUUAUAUUUCUUACACAAGUUGGUCAUAUAACUUUUCCAAGGAUUUUUGUGGACCUAGGUGCAAAUAGUAACUUGAUGCUACUGGUAGUUUUCAAACAACAAGGCUUAGGACCCCCAAACCAACAAAUGGAUGGUUAUUGAUCGUAAAUUAUAUAGUCAAGAAUACUAUGAGCAUAUUAUUAGAUAUUUUGUUCAAGGUAUAAAACUUCAUAUUUUCUACUAAUUUUUUUGUCAUGGACUGCGAGGUUGAUUUUGAGAUGCCUAUAAUUUUGGGGAGACCUUUCCAAAUCACUAGUAGAGAGUUAGUGGAUAUCGAAAAAGGGUGAGAUAAAUUUCAUCCUGAAUUAUGAGAAAGUCAAGUUCAAUUUUUGUAGAGCUAUAAAGCAGCCAAUAGACAUUAGGGUUGUUGUGGUAAUAAAUAGUUUAGAUGACUCGAUCCAGCCAACACCACUUAAUGGUAUUAAGACUAAUGUGCCUCUUCAAUCUUUUAAUGGGGGAAGUCCAUAUCCGAUUCCUAGAGCAUCACAGGUAUAACUCCACUCCCAUGUUUUAUGUCUUUCCUCGUUAAGCAUUGAGGACAGUGCAUUACCUUUUAGUUGGAGAUGGGGGUGUACCACUAUAUAGGAUUUUUGUUGUUGUGUCUCUUUCCCAUAGAGUGUUCUAUCAUAGUAGAGCUAACACAUAUAGGAUAUUGUGUUUUGUUCAUUUUUGUGUUCUGUUUGUUAUGUUUGAGUAGGAGAAAACUAAGGAACUUUGGUGCAGUCAAAUUUUUGUUUUUAUGAUGAAUAAAAAAUACCCCUCCUAAUUAUUUACGAACUGUGUGUUAUGAAUAUAUGAGAUUAUGACCAUUGUGGAUAUCAGUAUUAGGGACAGAAUAACCAUAAAUUAGCAUUGCAUGACCUAGACAGGUAGUAGUUUGAAAUAUAACUCUAUAUUAUCUGAGUGUGAGGUGUGUUUACUUAGUUCACUUUGUGUGUACAAUCCAGAACAUGAUCAGUUAGUCUUUCCAAGGUUUUAGGAUAGUUAGUUGGGACAUGAUUACAAUUCAUUCUUGAAUAAGUCCACUUAUAGCCUAAACGAUCGACCAAAUGAAAUAAGUAUUACCUUAUCUCGAAUUUGAGAUAAUAUAGUCCUACUUUCUUGUAUUAACCCAUUCACCUUCCCACUUUUAAUUACAAUAAACCUGUUUUGUCUUUUAUCCCUUCUUGGGAAUUGUGUACCUCAACUCAGGAAAAUAGCCAAUGUUAACGGUGGCUAUAACAAGGGUGCGUAGUUGGAUAUAGGUAUGAAAAAAAUGUUAAGAAAAGAAAAUUAGGUAGGGUUGGGUGUGGUAGAAGAAGAAAAAUAGAAAAAAUAUGAAAUAAAGGAAAGAAAAGAAUAUAAAUAAAUAUAAAGAAUGAAGCAAAACCACACCCAAUCUACGUAUAAAUAAUGGAGAAAAAAAGAGUAUAAAAUGAGCAUGUUUGAAUAGUGGAGCCAAAAAAUAUAAGUAUAGUGUCAAGGAGGGUUGAGUCACAAUUAUCCAUAUGUACCAUACCUGCUGCCAAGCCUACACUAUAAGAUGAGAAAAUUCCAAUACUUAUCCUAGUCUAGUUGUUCAAAAAACUACGAUGUAAAAUAUAAGGGAAAAAUCGUAGUUUUUUAUGCACAUUAUCUGAACUUAUUUGGGCAUGAGAGUUACUAGAUGUAGUCCAUGCGUUGAUUUUCAUUAUGAUAUUAUGAGAGUAUAGGACUUCUUUGUUGUAAGGGUACAUGGGUUUCAUUGUCUGCUGCUUAUCUAUUUUUGGGAAUGUUACUUAUAUACAUUUUUUUUUCUUGUAAUCUCAUGCCAUCACUUGAUCCCUUUUGUGUCAUAAAAUUUUGCUACAUGUAUACACCUAAUUGUUUUGAAAGUUGUUCAUUGAAAGGGAUUGAAAGUUCAUGGUGAACUAAAUGAAUUAUUGUUGCAGGUACGUUAGGUUUAUCUUAGUUAAGCAUUGUGGGUUUUUAGGUGUGUUUUAUUUUCUUGAGAACAUGCAAAUCUUCUAAGUUGGGGUGUUGAUGUACCAUGGUUUUGAUGCUUAAAAUAAGGAAUUUAUGCAAGAACUUAGGUAUUUUUAUUGGGUAUGAUGUGUUUUUGUGAUGAUUGUGCAGGAAAAUAGGUUUUGGAGGAAAAAUUGAGGUUGAAGAAUAGAAAUCUACUUAGUUAGUAACCCACGAGUUGAUUGAAAACUUGAGUGUGGGACCUACAAUUCGUGAGUGGGCCUGUGACUUGAGUUCUAAAGUUGAAAAAAAAAUUCUGAUUACUAUUAUAUGAACCAAGACUUAUGACUUCUACCCAUAACUCAUGGGUAGUAUUUGCGUUUCAAGUACUGAAGAUUGAACCUGAGCAUGAUUUCCAUGAUUUAGAGCAAAGACGAAUUAAUCUGAUCUGUUACUCAACCCAUGAGUCGUAAGGUGUUGCCGACCUGAUUUUCCUAUACAAUUUAUGAUAGCAUUCAUGUUAUAUAUAUUAGUACUCCCAUUAUGUUUUAUGAAUAGUCUACAUACGGAAUUAUUUUGAGGUUUUUAGACACAUUAUUAAUCGAUGAACUCUUGAUAUUGGUUUUUUAAGGUUUAAAUCAAUUUAAGAUUUAUGGUUUUUCAUUUUAUUCUUAUAAGUGCACAAUAAUGCUUUCAUCUAUGUAUUCUUAUUAUGUUUUUAUGAUCAUGAGUAUUUUAUCCCCAUAACUAGGGCUGUGGGAACUGUGAUGAAUUAAAAAAAUAGGGUUAAGUAUAAAAUCAUUCUAGAUUGGUGUACUUGCAUGUAUUAGUAUUUCCUUUAAUUUGAUUGCUUUCUUGACGAUUAAAAUGUUAUGAACUUGCCUUUAAUCUAAACUUGUUAUAGUUAGAAGUAGUGAUUAGGAAAAUAAAAUAACAAUACAAAUUUGAAGCUGUCAACUUUGAUCUAAUUAACUUGAGCCUUAACUGGGAUAUUUAAUCUGAGAUUACGAAACAAGGGUUACUAAUACAAUGCUCUAAGUUAAGAAAAGAUGAUUGAAAUUUGUAUACACCAAGGUCAAAAGAAGAUUAAGUGAUACAUUUCUUUUUAUGUUUUGCAUACCAGGCAUCUUGAGAGUCUGCUAGCAUGAAUAAUAUAUGGAUUUAUGAAAUCAUGGAGACAAUCCCAGUGUUUGACUCAUAUUGAUCACAAUGCAGUCAACUAACAACGUUUACUUUUACAAUUUACUUUCACCAAAGCCCCCUUUUUAUUUGCAUAAUUCCCAAUUACAACAACAAACUCUAG
rnacentral:lncRNA from 1 species